rnacentral:rRNA from 1 species
GUGGGAUUAGCUAGUUGGUGAGGUAAGGGCUCACCAAGGCGACGAUCCCUAGCUGGUCUGAGAGGAUGAUCAGCCACACUGGAACUGAGACACGGUCCAGACUCCUACGGGAGGCAGCAGUGGGGAAUAUUGCACAAUGGGCGCAAGCCUGAUGCAGCCAUGCCGCGUGUGUGAAGAAGGCCUUCGGGUUGUAAAGCACUUUCAGUCGUGAGGAAGGUAGUGUAGUUAAUAGCUGCAUUAUUUGACGUUAGCGACAGAAGAAGCACCGGCUAACUCCGUGCCAGCAGC